GGGAGCCUGAGAAACGGCUACCACAUCCAAGGAUGGCAGCAGGCGCGCAAAUUACCCAAUCCCGACACGGGGAGGUAGUGACAAUAAAUAACAAUACGGGGUUCUUUUGGAUCUCGUAAUUGGAAUGAGUACAAUUUAAAUCUCUUAACGAGGAACAAUUGGAGGGCAAGUCUGGUGCCAGCAGCCGCGGUAAUUCCAGCUCCAAUAGCGUAUAUUAAAGUUGUUGCAGUUAAAAAGCUCGUAGUUGAAUUUCGGGGUUAGUAGGUUGGUCAUGCCUCUGGUAUGUACUGAUCUCACUGAUUCCUCCUUCCUGAUGAACCGUAAUGCCAUUAAUUUGGUGUUGCGGGGAAUUUGGACUGUUACUUUGAAAAAAUUAGAGUGUUUAAAGCAAGCUAACGCUUGAAUACAUUAGCAUGGAAUAAUGAAAUAGGACGUUCGAUCCUAUUUUGUUGGUUUCUAGGAUUGACGUAAUGAUUAAUAGGGAUAGUUGGGGGCAUUAGUAUUCAAUUGUCAGAGGUGAAAUUCUUGGAUUUAUUGAAGACUAACUACUGCGAAAGCAUUUGCCAAGGAUGUUUUCAUUAAUCAAGAGCGAAAGUUAGGGGAUCGAAGACGAUCAGAUACCGUCGUAGUCUUAACCAUAAACUAUGCCGACUAGGGAUCGGAUGAUGUUAAUUUUUUAAUGACUCAUUCGGCGCCUUACGGGA
rnacentral:rRNA from 1 species